rnacentral:rRNA from 1 species
GACGAACGCUGGCGGCGUGCUUAACACAUGCAAGUCGAACGGAAAGGCCUUGCUUUUGUGGGGUGCUCGAGUGGCGAACGGGUGAGUAACACGUGAGUAACCUGCCCUUGACUUUGGGAUAACUUCAGGAAACUGGGGCUAAUACCGGAUAGGAGCUCCUGCUGCAUGGUGGGGGUUGGAAAGUUUCGGCGGUUGGGUAUGGACUCGCGGCUUAUCAGCUUGUUGGUGGGGUAGUGGCUUACCAAGGCUUUGACGGGUAGCCGGCCUGAGAGGGUGACCGGCCACAUUGGGACUGAGAUACGGCCCAGACUCCUACGGGAGGCAGCAGUGGGGAAUAUUGCACAAUGGGCGGAAGCCUGAUGCAGCAACGCCGCGUGCGGGAUGACGGCCUUCGGGUUGUAAACCGCUUUCGCCUGUGACGAAGCGUGAGUGACGGUAAUGGGUAAAGAAGCACCGGCUAACUACGUG